AUCUUUGUUCACCUAACAUGCAGUCCUGCCUCCAAUACCUGAGCAGUUUGGGUGCUUUUGUAUACAUCAGUGCAUCACAUCCACAGAGUCUUACCCUUAGUGGAGAGCAGGUACAAGCCACUGCCGGGAGCAGGACGUCAGACUUGCCGUACCAAUGAGCCACUGUGGUGAGUCUGGAUUCCUGUGCUAGCUGCCUCUGGGGAUCAUGGAAAACUGACAGCAAGUUCAUCUGGUAGCACAAGCCACAGAAAUGUGCUCCUAGGACAACACAGCCGUCAGCUACAAUGAUCUCAAAGUGCUCUGAGCAAGGUGGAUUCCUUACUGACGUGGAGAAGACCGAGGUUAAGUGAUUUGCCCCAGUUCUGCGCACACUCCAAUCCAGUUGGAAUUUCCAUGUGCUUUUGCCCUAAAAAUUAGUGUUAAUCCUGCUGGCCAAGGGUCACCGCUAGGAACCCAAGGGAGGUGCUCAGCCCUUCAACAGCACCAGCCCAGCCUUUCAGACUCUAUGCAUUAAUACAAUGAAGAGUAGAAAUUCGAUUGUCCUGUAAUUCAGGUUUCUCUGGCUUCUGUUCCAAACUAUAAGGCCUGUACUUCACAUGCUGUCUAAGACUGGAUUUUGUACUACAACGGAACAGAGACUGGCUAUCUUCCUUUUCUAUGAUUUUUUUUUUAAAUUGGCAUUUAUUUUUGUGAAGAUUAAUCAAGAUCAAUCAAAUCAAGGGCAAAGGACAGAAAAACAGGGUAAUAAGGUCUUCAGUCUCUGAUGAAGUGGCUGAGCUCUUUCAGACUGGUGAUCAGUUUCAAGAAGCCAGAAUCUCCUCCAGCUCAUGAGCCUGCUCCUGCCUUUCCAUGAGGUCACUAAGCCGGAUGUGAGCAUAAGUGCAUCUGACCCUAAAACUAGCUCCCUGUGAACUUGACCUUGCUAAAUGUUGCUCUUCUGACUCUACAGUAUGUAACACAUAUAUCUUCUGUAUCUUCUGUAGACAUAAAUAACUAUAUCAACUGCAGUAUCAAAGCAUGAUUACAGGAGACGUUUUCCAUUAAUAGCCUGAAAGGAACCAAGAAAAAUAUUCUCUCUCUGAAAAUGGAAUUGGAAAACACAUAUUUUAUGCAGAUUUUAACUCUGAGGCAUAUAACCGAUGUUAACAAUCAGAGAAGGUUGUUCUGCUCUAGCCAGGCAACUCGAUGUACUUCAGGAAAAAAAAAAAACAAAAAAAACCCAAAAAACACUCUGUUCUCUGAAAUUUAUACCCUUCAAUUAGGAGGCGCAUAAACCAGAGAUAGAAAAAAACGCUACUCAGGGUUAUCUUGUCCCCAUACCCACUCACCCACCAACAGCAUGCAAAAAUCUUGCAGAAGUCAAGGUAAAAGAAAGAAUGAAAAGGCCCAAAAGAAUAAUAAGUAUAAAUAAUACUUAAAUCUAAAUCAGAUGUGAUUGAACACAAAACAUGAAGAGAUCUACUGGUUAUCUUAAAAUUUAAAAUGUAUAGAAUAUCUGGUCCGAGAACAGUAUAUGCCGAAUUAUCAGAACACAUUCGUUAGUCAUACAGAGAGUAGUGCAUCUACGUUCAUUGUAUAUACAAAUGAGUGUUUAUGCACAUGAUCUAAAAAGCCAGCCAGCCAGCAGCUUUAAUUUGAAGCGGAUAAAAGGCAUAAAAUUAGCUUCUUACCUUUUAACUUUUUCUUUGACUUCACUUGUAAAAAGUGGAUCAACCUUGAAAGAAAUAUAUACACACAUGCAUAUGGCACUACAGCAUACAUUUGAAAUACCCAGAAGAGAAAAACAAAUAUGCAUCAAUUUUAGCACAUUUUUGCUAAAAUUUAAAUGCAUGAGUAAGGUGAGCUUUAAAAUUACACCAGAGAGAGGUAAUUCGGUAGAGUAACUUUUGAUUCUUAGGACGAGUGCUCUUGUGAGUGACUGACACUUGGAAGUGACGUCUCGCUAGGGAUGUUAGUGCUCAGGAUAGCACAUGUGAAUUGACCACUCCACUCGUAAAGUUUUACGUGGCUACUCUUAAUUCAGGGUAGCUUUGGGCUAACCUCAAAAGGGAGGUUUCAUUUCUUGUCCUCUGACAUCGCUCUGGCUGCAGGUUCUAAUUAGCUGCAGAUCUACUUAAAAUGAAUGAAGGAUCAGUUUCCGAUUGCUCUGCUAAUGCAGCCAUGAUUCCAAUAACUGAUCUGACAACUUACUAAGUGAGGAACAAUGCACUGAUGUGGCAAGUAAUUGUCCCUUUAUGUACGGGGUAACCAGCAUGAGGAAGGAAAGGGACUUUUCAGGCUUUAGUUAACACAGGAAGCAAUCUGCAUGUAAACUGAGACAGUCAAAAAGAUUUUAUGCACAUAAUGCAAUUUGCUUGAAAAUUAAUAAACACAAACUUACACAAAAUAAGCUAGAAUUAUUAAAAAAUUGUUUAAGAUGCGCAAUUCACUCUAGCAAGUUUAUUUACAAAGCUUAACUAAGUCUAUUAUUCUCAUUUAACACAUUUUAAAAAAAUAAACAGAAUUUGGAAAUCAACUAGACAUGAAGAACAGCACUGGACUUGUUUUUAUUACGGCAGACUGAAUAUAUUAGAUUAAUUUAUGACAGGCUGCACAGCACACAGCAAUUGAAAGCACUGGGGACAGCAUGGUUUAUUUUUUUAAUGCAUGCUAAUGUGUUAUUUCUUUGUUACAAAAUACAAGACAGAAAACAGUAACAAAACAAUUUAGAAAACUUUCCGAAAAAAAGUCAGAAGUGAUUUUAUAGCUAUGAUUGUGUACUUUGAACAGAAGAAUAAUUAUGUUAUGAAACCUAGGGCUUCAUAAAUCAAAAGAUUCAAGCAAUUCA